rfam:Pongo abelii chromosome X.
GCAGUGCCCUACUUAGAAAUGUGCCAGUUUCCUAGAUUAUACGUCACUGGUUUCUUUCUUGGUAUGUAAGGCU